CCCCUCUCAGAGUCGCAUCUGGAAAGUUUCUAGUACUCUACCAGUCUCAAAUAUGGGAGGCAGAGUCAAGCAGAAGCAUACCCAUUCCAUUCUUGGCUUGGCCAGUUGCUAGUGAGUGGAAGGCAAUCUGCUACAAGU